rnacentral:rRNA from 1 species
GAUUAACGCUGGCGGCGUGCCUAACACAUGCAAGUCGAACGAACAAACGUAGUAGACUUCUUCGUAACGACACUAAGCGGAUUAGUGGCGACCGGGUGAGUAACUCGUUAGUAACCUGCCUUACACAAGGGGAUAGCCUGCGGAAACGAAGAAUAAUACUCUAUAACACCAUAAAAGCACAUGCUAGAAUGGUCAAAGUGAUAGCGGAGUAAUAUGGACUUGCGUCUGAUUAGCUAGUUGGAGCGAUAAAAGAUCACCAAGGCUACGAUCAGAAGCCGGCUCGAGGGAGUGUACCGCAAUCUUGGGACUGAGACAAGGCGCAGACCUCCAGGGGAGGCAGCAGGGGGGAAGUAUGCACACUGCGGGAAAGACUGAGGCAGCGGCGCCGCGUGAUUCAGAAGGCAUUGGAGUUGUAAAAUUCUUUUGUAUAGGCAGAACAUGACAGUACUAUAUGAAUAAGGUCCGGCUAAUUACGUG